GACUCUGUAGUGAAAUUCAUGUUGAGUUGCAAACUCAUUGAUGUACAUUAGUAGUGUGCCGGAGUCU
rnacentral:tRNA from 1 species